UACGGGGGGGGUAAGCGUUGUUCGGAAUUACUGGGCGUAAAGGGCUCGUAGGCGGCCAACUAAGUCAGACGUGAAAUCCCUCAGCUUAACUGGGGAACUGCGUCUGAUACUGGAUGGCUUGGAUUUGGGAGAGGGAUGCGGAAUUCCAGGUGUAGCGGUGAAAUGCGUAGAUAUCUGGAGGAACACCGGUGGCGAAGGCGGCAUCCUGGACCAAUAUUGACGCUGAGGAGCGAAAGCUAGGGGAGCAAACGGG
rnacentral:rRNA from 1 species